GCAGGCCCUGGUUUCUCUGAUGUUGGAUAACCCUGCUGUUCUGCUGAGGGUCUCUUAUCCAAACAGAACAGCCUUACAACACGCUUUCCAGCCCAUAAUGCUAUACCCACACUAUUCGCAACAUUUAAAAACUAUUGCAGUUUUGCAAAUCACAUCCAGCCCGGCCUUGAACACCUCCAGGGACGGGGCAUCCACAGCCUCUCUGGGCAGCCUGUGCCAGCACCUCACCGCUCUCUCGGCUCCCUUCAGGUCCUGGAAGGCUGCAACGAGGUCACCCCGCAGCCUUCUGUUCUCCGGGCUGAGUUAA
rnacentral:lncRNA from 1 species